rnacentral:rRNA from 1 species
UACGGGGGGAGCAAGCGUUGUUCGGAUUUACUGGGCGUAAAGGGCGCGUAGGCGGCCACUGCAAGUCAGUUGUGAAAUCUCCGGGCUUAACUCGGAAAGGUCAACUGAUACUGCAGGGCUAGAGUGCAGAAGGGGCAACUGGAAUUCUCGGUGUAGCGGUGAAAUGCGUAGAUAUCGUGAGGAACACCGGUGGCGAAGGCGGGUCUCUAGACAGUUCCUGACACUGAGGCACGAAGGCCAGGGGAGCAAACGGG